rnacentral:ncRNA from 1 species
GGUAGGAGCAAAUAUUCAAACGAGAACUUUGAAGGCCGAAGUGGAGAAGGGCUUCAUGUGAACAGCAGUUGAACAUGGGUCAGUCGGUCGUAAGAGAUGGGUGAAUGCCGUUCGGAAGGGAGGGGUGAUGGCCUUCGGAAGGGAGGGCCGAUCGAAAGAGAGUCAGGUUCAGAUCCCCGAAUCCGGAUUGGUGGAGACGGGCGCCGUGAGGCAUCCAGUGCGGUAACGAAACCGAUCCCGGAGAAGCUGGCGGGAGCCCCGGGGAGAGUUCUCUUUUCUUUGUGAAGGGCAAGGCACCCUGGAAUGGGUUCGCCCCGAGAGAGGGGCCCAAGCCCUGGAAAGUGUCGCGGUUCUGGCGGCGUCCGGUGAGCUCUCGCUGGCCCUUGAAAAUCUGGGGGAAAGGGUGUAAAUCUCGCACCGGGCCAUACCCAUAUACACAGCAGGUCUUGAUCUAUAAGCC